GUGUCAGCAGCCGCGGUAAUACGGAGGGGGCUAGCGUUGUUCGGAAUUACUGGGCGUAAAGCGCACGUAGGCGGACUGUUAAGUCGGGGGUGAAAUCCUGGGGCUCAACCUCAGAAUUGCCUCCGAUACUGGCAGUCUCGAGUGCGGGAGAGGUGAGUGGAAUUCCCAGUGUAGAGGUGAAAUUCGUAGAUAUUGGGAAGAACACCAGUGGCGAAGGCGGCUCACUGGCCCGUAACUGACGCUGAGGUGCGAAAGCGUGGGGAGCAAACAGGAUUAGAUACCCCCGUAGUCC
rnacentral:rRNA from 1 species